GCUUGGGAAUGCUGGUCAGAUUCGGGCGGCUGGGAAACCCGCUCCCGUAGGGGUUCGUGGGUUCGAAUCCCACCCCCCGCA
rnacentral:tRNA from 1 species